ensembl:lncRNA
CUCCCUGCUGCUGUGAAAAGUAACCCGGUGAGAACAACAAAAGCUUUUUUCAGGGUUUUGUACCUUCGACAGAAGCUCUGCAGCAAUCUCGCAUCUCCUCCGUUCUGUCUCCGCAGCACAGGUGAGAUUUCCCAUAUGUCUUCAUUUCGUGUCCAACUCCACGGAAACGGAGCCGACGUGAAUGAGAGUGGAGCUGAUGGAUUGCAGCCCGGGUCACGCAUGACUUAGCAUCUCGUUUUGCCUCCCCUCGCGACGGCGGAGUCGCUGGGAACAACAGCGAGGAUUUACACAGACGCGGGGGAAAAAAAGGUAAAUGAGCUGACUCGUUUCUGUCGAGGUCACAGAUCUUUGGAGGUGACUGUUCCAGUGACACAUGAUGGGCUUCACUUUCAUAAAAGUGGUCUUUAAUUACACCAAACUCUUUCAAAUUCAUUGACUUUUUGUAAACAUGACCGUGGUGGUUCUGAUCAGUGAGAACAGCCUUCAGCGUCUUCGUGACACCAAAUCUGCUGAUGAAAACCAAAGUCCUGAGAGGAGGCUGGAUCUGGACCCUCGGGCUCCUGACCAACUCACUGACGAAUCAUCGCUCUCAUCCUGCGUCGCCCUUCAUCACGCCGGAAUCGAUGGCGGAAACUUACCCAGGGACGUCAGCGAACAGCAAGGUCAAUAACAACAAUUAAGGCCCCCCAUGUAGACGAGUACAGAGGUGGAGGGUAACUAUUUCUGUUGUUUAACAUCUGUAUAGACUGAAACGAAGCACUUUGUGGAUGAGUUCAACACGAUGUGCUCCGUAGAGUCACUGCACCAGCCUGAAGAAUGAUUCAAAGCUCCACUCUGAUGUAAAACCUUUAAUGUAAAGACAACGUUCUCACCACCAUCUUGCUUCUUUACAUUCCCCCAGACAGAGCGUUCAUCAUUCAUCAUCCCGGGGCUUUAUUUAACUUGUUGAAAACCAUUUUAUUUGUGUUUUUGCAAUGGUUUUCACGUUCUGACGCGAUAUUCUUAUCUACUUCAGUUGUUAAGUAGAAUACUGGAAUGCUCUUUUGCUGUGAAGUGUUUUUUGGAUCCACAAACUUCCCCUAGUUUUCCAUCUACAUGUAGGUGAGUAGAUAAUGACUGAAUGUGAACUGUUCCUUUAAAAGCUAAAGGAUGACAGAAAUAUUAACUCCCAUGUUGUGACGUUCAGCUGUUGAUCAGAUUAACACACAGGACGUUAAAUUAAAUCAAACUCAGAGGCUGUAAGGAGAGACGCGAGAUCACGUUUGACAUUUUGGUCCCUUUAUUUCAUGUUAACCACAUUUCAAACAACUAAACAACCAAUGGUAAUGGCAUCACCAGAUCUAAACAACACUUUGCUAGACAAAUAAUCAUCAGAAUAAUAAUUAUACAAAAGAAAUGUACAAAUUCAAGACAAAAAAAGAAAACAAAACAAAUUAAAAAAAAAUUGAAAACAAAUAAAAUAUAUAAUACAGAUGAGCGGCCAUGAACCAAGCCAAUAAAAUAAAGCCUUAGUGGAAAAAAAACCCCAAAACAAAACAAAGAAAAAACAUUUCUGGCAUUCACAUCGUCUUCAAUACAACACUCUGACUGUCUUUGUCUUUAUAGGUCCAUUAACGAGCCUGACUGGACUCCAGCAAACAAAUAAAACGUAAGCGCAGACUGAACAGUUUGCCACAACAUUUUGCCACAAAGUAUGUCGGUUCUGGCCAAGAAGAGCAUCGACACUUUACAAACCAAACAAAUGUAACCAGAGAUGAGCUUCACCUGAGUGAAGUGUCAUUCCAAACUGAGCCAUCAGCUGUCUCCUAACGCUGACAUCUAUCGGUAUGAGCUGCUGACGUAAAAUAAAUGAAAUGAUGGGUUAGAAUCAGUUUUGAUUUGAUUAGAAAAGUGCUUCCGUCUUUAGUUUGAGUGACUCGUCCGCCAUGUUUGAAAAUGAAGCCCUUAAUUUGGUGUCUUCUUUACCUCAGACGACGCUGCGACUGUUCUUUAGUCCCCAGUAAAGACCAACGAAUCCCUAAAAAUCCUCACAGUCCUUUUGACUUGACACAGUUCAGAGGAUGCCGAAAUAAGAGCCUUUAAUAUCAGCUUGUUGUUUCGUCUUCCUCGCGUCUUUUAAGGGCAAUAUGAAAGUUUAAAGUCCGAUCAAAUGAGGAGACAAAGGGGAGCUGAAGUCAGCGGUUUAAUUCUCAUUAAGUCCUUCUCUUUGAGCUGCAGUGGCAUCUGAACUGUCAGCCAUGUUGACCUUCAUUCACCCCGGGGUCGAUCAUUAACUCACAUCAUUUCCUAUCACACCGGGCUGGAGAUUAAUUUCUAAACCUCGGUAGGUAUAGUGAAAAGCAAAUUUGAGGCUUUGUUUGCAGAGGGAGAGUAAAUGUGACCCGUCGCUUUGUCUUUGUGUUGUCAUCUUGAUGACAGCCAGCCGGCCCGGGGAGCACUCCUUCACUGAAAUGUACCCAGAAUAUAAAACAUCGUGUGGCUUAUAGUUCUGAUCCAAACCUUAUUAAUUAACAUGUUUUGAUCACCAUGGGUAGAGUUACUCUCAGUCAUCCGAAACUUGUGAAAUAUUAUUUCAGAGAUAACUCUUAACGGAAAAAAAUGUGUGAUCGUCUCCUGCGUGUUGCUUCGUGUGUUUGAAUGUUUGCUCUUCGUCCUUUCAACUAUUUCAAGUCAAACCAAGUAUUCAGAACCACGUAAACAAAUGGAUGAAAAAGUUGAAUAAAUGACUCGCUGUUGAGUUUUUCUAGAGCCCGACUGAUACUGGAGUUCUGAAGCUGGCGCUGGUACCAAUUUAAGAGAGCAAAUAUAUUCUGAUAUUGAUAUAACGCUUGUGACUCGGGCUGCAGCUAAAGAUUAUUUUCACUAUCGAUCAAUCUGCUGAAUGUUUUUUCUGCACUCAAGACAUCACAUAUGCCGAUACUGAUUUAUCUUGGAUAGGUGCUGAUACGAUCAGUCGGGCUCUAGUUCUUUCAUCUGGACCGCAGGGCGACCUGGUCGUUGGUGAUGUACUCAGAAUCAAGAGUUAAAUCCGAACAUCUCUCUAAAAGUCUCCUUCAAGAAAAACAAAUGUAAUUUCAAUCUUCUUCCUCACCGUAAGUCACUCUGAAUGUGGGCGUCAGCUUAACGUGCAAUAUGCAAAAAUAUAUUUCUUAAUUCUUUUGACGGCGUGUCUGAAUGGAGCGUUUGUAGGAAGGUAACAUAAGACUUUGUUUCAAACUAAAACUCACGGCUGAGAAUGACAGCGGCUGCUGUGUGGAGCGAUAGUGUGUUCUGAAAUGAGAACCUUUUGUUUGCGACGUGAUGUUUGUCUGUUUGUUUGUUUGUUUGACUGUGGUUGUCUUAUCUUAUUUACAGUCAGGGUGGAUGCACACUAUAAGAUUUUGGCAAGACUCACUUCACAUAAAGCCAUCCAGAAACAUUAAUGAUUUAUUUAUUUUUUUUCUUACAGCCUCAAUGAAAAAAAACAAAAGCAGGAGCCGAUAAAAACAACGUGUUUUCUUAAAGGCGAGGCGGGACUGUUGUUCUUUUGUCUGUUUGAUGCUGUUGUUAUUUAUCACCAUGCAUUGACUCCACGCAUCGUAGCUCGUCACAUGCUACACUAUUUGUUACCAUUUUUUUUUUCCCCCCCAGUAAAAGCAAAACUGUUGAUCUGAUGCAGCGUGAAGGAAAAAAGAAACCAUCCUCAGAUUUCUUUUUUUUGGGGUAACCAAUUACUGAAUUACAAGUCUCGUUGGUGUUUAACAUUGACGCAAUCAAGAGGCCGUAGCUGCGAGGAGAUUCAUCAGCGUUUGAUUUCAGAGAAAAAAGAAAAAAAAAAGCCAGAAAUAUUCACAAGUGUCUGUCGGCUUCUUGCUUUGAUCCAGCGACUGAAUCAUCGACAGAAAACAUCCGCAUCUCGUCUCUCUCUACAAACACUCUGGGUUGGAUAAACAUCUGAGUCGAGGCGUCGUU